UGGUGGACGGGUGAGUAAUGUCUGGGAAACUGCCUGAUGGAGGGGGAUAACUACUGGAAACGGUAGCUAAUACCGCAUAACGUCGCGAGACCAAAGAGGGGGACCUUCGGGCCUCUUGCCAUCGGAUGUGCCCAGAUGGGAUUAGCUAGUAGGUGGGGUAACGGCUCACCUAGGCGACGAUCCCUAGCUGGUCUGAGAGGAUGACCAGCCACACUGGAACUGAGACACGGUCCAGACUCCUACGGGAGGCAGCAUG
rnacentral:rRNA from 1 species